AUUGAACGCUGGCGGCAUGCCUUACACAUGCAAGUCGAACGGCAGCACGGGAGCAAUCCUGGUGGCGAGUGGCGAACGGGUGAGUAAUAUAUCGGAACGUGCCCAGUCGUGGGGGAUAACGCAGCGAAAGCUGUUCGAAAACCGCAUACGAUCCAUGGAUGAAAGUGGGGGACCGCAAGACCUCGCGCGAUUGGAGCGGCCGAUAUCAGAUUAGCUAGUUGGUGGGGUAAAGGCCCACCAAGGCGACGAUCUGUAGCUGUUCUGAGAGGACGACCAGCCACACUGGAACUGAGACACGGUCCAGACUCCUACGGGAGGCAGCGGUGGGGAAUUUUGGACAAUGGGCGCAAGCCUGAUCCAGCAAUGCCGCGUGCAGGAUGAAGGCCUUCGGGUUGUAAACUGCUUUUGUACGGAACGAAACGGCGAGCUCUAAUAAAGUUUGCUAAUGACGGUACCGUAAGAAUAAGCACCGGCUAACUACGUGCCAGCCGCCGCGGUAA
rnacentral:rRNA from 1 species